UACGGAGGGAGCUAGCGUUGCUCGGAAUCACUGGGCGUAAAGGGUGCGUAGGCGGGUCUUUAAGUCAGGGGUGAAAUCCUGGAGCUCAACUCCAGAACUGCCUUUGAUACUGAGGAUCUUGAGUUCGGGAGAGGUGAGUGGAACUGCGAGUGUAGAGGUGAAAUCGUAGAUAUUCGCAAGAACACCAGUGGCGAAGGCGGCUCACUGGCCCGAUACUGACGCUGAGGCACGAAAGCGUGGGGAGCAAACAGG
rnacentral:rRNA from 1 species